AUUGAACGCUGGCGGCAUGCUUUACACAUGCAAGUCGAACGGUAACAGGCCUUCGGGUGCUGACGAGUGGCGAACGGGUGAGUAAUGCAUCGGAACGUACCCAGAGGUGGGGGAUAACGCAGCGAAAGCUGUGCUAAUACCGCAUGUGAUCUGAGGAUGAAAGCGGGGGACCGAGCAGCAAUGUUUGGCCUCGCGCCUUUGGAGCGGCCGAUGUCGGAUUAGCUAGUUGGUGGGGUAAAGGCCUACCAAGGCGACGAUCCGUAACUGGUCUGAGAGGACGACCAGCCACACUGGGACUGAGACACGGCCCAGACUCCUACGGGAGGCAGCAGUGGGGAAUUUUGGACAAUGGGCGCAAGCCUGAUCCAGCAAUGCCGCGUGCGGGAAGAAGGCCUUCGGGUUGUAAACCGCUUUUGGCAGGAACGAAACGGUGUCCGCUAAUACCGGGCGCUAAUGACGGUACCUGCAGAAUAAGCACCGGCUAACUACGUG
rnacentral:rRNA from 1 species